rnacentral:misc_RNA from 1 species
CCGAGUUUACAACUCCCAAACCCCUGUGAACAUACCUAUCGUUGCUUCGGCGGGAUGCCCCAGUUUGACGCAAGCUGGACCCAGGCGCCCGCCGGAGGACCCAAACUCUUGUUUUAUUUAUGUAUCUUCUGAGUAAACAAGCAAGUAAAUUA